GCGAGCGAGAGAAAAAGAAGCGAGCGACCGAGUAGCUGCGUAGCGAUGCCUGUGACCUAACCCGUCUCCCCCAGCGAACCCCGCCUCCUCUCCUGCCGCCGCCGCCGCGCCCCCUUCUUCCCUUCUCCAUGCUCGCCGCUGCCGACGCCGCGUCUGCCAGCCGCCCCGCCUCGAGCCAGCCGCCGUUCGGUAAAAACCUAACCUCCACACCCACGCCCCCACCAGUCCCUCCCUCCUCUUCCUCGACCUCCCUCCUAGCUGCCUCCGCCUCCCCUCCGCGGUCGACCUCCUCGUUGCCGGUGAUGCUACAGCGCCUUGGCCCGGUCGUCUCUGUCUCUUGCCGUGCUCUCUCAUGCUGCUGUGCCUCCUGGACGACGCUCCCGUGCCUCGGAUGCACCCCCUUCUCUCCCGAGCUCCAGAUCCAUGGCUGCAGCGGCGAGAUGAAAUUGCAACACCUGGUACCAAGACCAUGCUGGGAUUUUCUGAUCAUGUUAGGAGCUUUGUCAAUCCUGUAUGGACGACCUCUUUGAGUGGAAAUGAUUCGGAUACAACAUCACGGACAGGAAAACAGUUGGACAUCAGCCAUGAAAAGGUUUGAGGUCUUUCACGGAGUUUCCUACCAGCUAUUCAUCUAGAGCACUAUCCUUGUGAAAAUUUCUCAUUUUCUCCUCCAUCUAUUGAUAGGAGACGCACUCGACAAGGGUGUAAGUAGUCUCACCAGUCCAAUUCAGAGUUACAAGAAAGUUCUAAAUCUGAUAAUUUUAAACUUGUGUAGCAUGUCCUGUUUGUUAUGUGCCUGUUGACCAGGGCCUGGCAUUGAUGCCAGCUGCUCAUCUGUCCGAAGACAAUUUGGUACUCAUAGGUCCAAUAGUGGUUCUUUAUUUUGUGGUUAUCCAUCCCUGGAACAACGAGAUAUGUCUUAUAUGACAUAAAAGACUCGAUGACACUACAUUGUGGAUCUGUGAGGGGGGAAGAUACAUGGUCCCGAUACUGCAUUCGAUGUAGAUGAAGCUGGUCUGUCUGAGAUGCGGCAGUGCCAGGGGACAUUUGCUUCUGCUAUUUUCGGGAACUGCAUCCUCUUUUCUAUGCCAAUUAUAUUUGCAUGUUGUCAUGUUUCCAUGCCGGUGCUAAUUGCACAUCGUGUGUGAACUUUCUUAUUUGUUUUUUCUCAGAGAAUUAUGAUAUAAUGCAACGACCAGAAAACAUCAGUACAUUUUCAAAAGAUAUUGUUUGCUUCUUCAUGUUUCUGGAUGAAGAAACUGAAGCUGCAAUAAAGAAGAUCCCUACUGUUGAUAAUACGAAAAGAAUCAGGCUGUGGCGGGUGGUUGUUGUGCACAACCUUUUCCUGACCCAACAACUUUCGUGAAAAUCAGCCUAAAAUCACUGUGCAGUUCAUUGUGAAGAAAAUAAAAAAAAAUACUACUGAACCGACAGAGUUUUGAAGCUGGCUUCGCCGCUGCUGUACUGUACAUUAGGUUAUUUGAUUUUCCUAAUUGAAUCUUUUUGGUGCCAGUUACUUCUGGCAUGGAGAUUGUGCACAAGUUAAAAUUCAGCUUAGCGGGCAAUGUAAACUAAAAUUUAGUUGCAAAUAUAAUUUUACGCAAUCUUCUAAAAGCAACAUGCGCUCUUAUCUAGAUAGCUGAUCCAACAUGUUUUCAUUCUUUUCUGCAUUGGGUCAGUGUGAAAAGUUUCUUGACUCCACAACCAUCUUUCCGUUCUGUUGAAAGACGAGAGGAGUAUGCCAUGCUUAAUGUGAAUCAGCAUGAGCGAAUUGUUUUCCUAAUCACGUAUUUUCCUUGUGGUAAUUUUUUAAUUGAAAUGCCAUGCUUAAUGCGAAUCAGCAUGAGCGAUUUUUUUUUCCUAAUUGUGUAUUUUCCUUGUUAUAAUUUUUUAACUGAAUCCCUUGUGAUAUUUAGGUUCCAAAACUAUUACUUCAUCGGCUCUUUCCUAAUGUGCGGUAUUCACUCUGUAUCGAUGGGAAACUUAAACUUGUGAAGGAUCCUUAUCAGCUGUUAAAGAGAUUCUUGUGGAGGAAAAAUGUGCGCUUCACUAUUUCCAGGUAUUAUAGACGCUUUGAUGUCUUUGAGGAAGCUGAGGCCAACAAGGCUGGAAGUAUGAUAAUGCUUCAAUCGAUAACCAAAUAAAGUUCUACAAGACAGAGGGUUAACCCAUUAUUCAUCAGCUAAGCUCCUUAUUGCAAGCUGCAAAUGGUUCUUCUCGCUGAAUUCUGAUAUAGAAAUACUUCUCCUGAGAACAUAAGGGAUACAUUUAUCUUGAACAGAUUCCCUGAGGGUUGUGUAAUUAUAGGAGAGCACAUACCAUCACCAAUCUCUUCACAUGCCUUUGGUUCAAUGAAGUUGAUCGUUCACCUCAAGAGAUCAGCUAAGCUUUAGCACAACGAGGGAUAAAAUAAGAUCAAGAGUUCUUGUUGACAACUAAAUAAGAUCAGGAGUUGAUUGGACUGCAGACAUGUUCCUGGAUUGUGGAAGGCGUGAAUUUGUUGUUCAGGUAUUUUUUGAGUUAAUGCUUUGUGCGGCACAUCAUUCCAUUUGCAACCUGAAGUACUAUUGCAACUUGGUACCGAGUGCAGACUUUGUCAAAUUACACACAAAAAAUUCUAGCAUAACAAUGGAUCUUCGCAUCUUCAUAGCGAGCUGUUUGAAAACAACAUCAGUGGACCGAUGAUUUUUUUUGGAAAGAACACAAUGUCAGGAUCUUUGACAUAAUAGAAUUUUGCUGGAGUUUGAGGCUAUCUAUUGAUGAGGUAUCCUGGAGAGCUGCAAGUUGCUUUUCUUGUUUUGAAUCAUGUUCUUGUUGUUUUCUCCUUGCUGAGAGUGUAUUAUGUGGGUAGUGUACUCAUCAUGAUCUCUGAAGCUAUGCUUACAGUUGCAUCAUUGUUUUCUUGAAAAUUGACCCUCUAAA